UACGGAGGGUGCAAGCGUUGUCCGGAAUCAUUGGGCGUAAAGCGUUCGUAGGCGGCAUAUCAAGUCUGGUGUUAAAGGCAGCAGCUCAACAGCUGUAGGGCACUGGAUACUGGUAAGCUAGAAUGCGGUAGAGGUUAAGGGAAUUCCUGGUGUAGCGGUGAAAUGCGUAGAUAUCAGGAGGAACAUCGGUGGCGUAAGCGCUUAACGGGGCCGUAAUUGACGCUGAGGAACGAAGGCCAGGGUAGCAAAC
rnacentral:rRNA from 1 species